CCCCUAGAUGUUCUGGGCCGCACGCGCGCUACACUGAACAGUUCAACAAGUCUUAACCUUGGCCGAUAGGUCUGGGUAAUCUUUGAACGCUGUUCGUGACUGGGAUAGACCUUUGCAAUUAUGGGUCUUCAACGAGGAAUUCCUAGUAAACGCAAGUCAUCAGCUUGCAUUGAUUACGUCCCUGCCCUUUGUACACACCGCCCGUCGCACCUACCGAUUGAAUGGUCCGGUGAAAUCUCGGGACGGCGGCUUGGUCGCUUGCGUCCGACUGCCGAAACUUGAUUAAACCAUAUCAUUUAGAGGAAGGUGAAGUCGUAACA
rnacentral:rRNA from 1 species